GCCGAGCAAGAUGCCCAACGGAAAGAAGGCCAAGGGGAAGAAGGUGGCCUGGCCCCAGCUGUGGUCAAGAAACAGGAGUCCAAAAAGGUGGUCAAUCCUUUGUUUGAGAAAAGGCCUAAGAACUUCGGCAUUGGGUAGGACAUCCAGCCCAAUGAGAUCCAAAAGAGAUCUCGCACGCUUCAUUAAAUGGUCCCACUACAUCAGGCUGCAGCGGCAAAGAGCCAUCCUCUAUAAGCGGCUCAGAGUACCUCCUGCCAUCAACAAGUUCACCCAGGCCCUGGACAGGCAAACAGUGACUCAGCUGCUUAAGCUUGCCCACAAGUACAGGCCAGAGACAAAGCAGGAGAAGAAGCAGAGGCUGCUGGCCCACGCUGAGAAGAUAGCUGCUGGCAAAGUGGGACGUCCCAACUAAGAGACCGCCUGUCCUCUGAGCAGGGGUCAAUACAGUCACCACCUUGGUGGAGAACAAGAAGGCUCAGCUGGUGGUGAUUGCCCAUGAUGUAGACCCCAUUGAGCUGGUGGUUUUCCUCCCUGCCCUUUGUCGAAAGAUGGGGGUGCCCUACUGCAUCAUCAAGGAAAAGGCCAGGCUGGGGUUCCUGGUCCACAGGAAGACAUGCACCACUGUUGCCUUCACACAGGUUAACUCGGAAGACAAGGGUGCUCUGGCUAAG
rnacentral:lncRNA from 1 species